CCUACGGGUGGCAGCAGUAGGGAAUCUUCCACAAUGGACGAAAGUCUGAUGGAGCAACGUCGCGUGAGUGAAGAAGGGUUUCGGCUCGUAAAGCUUCGUUGGUAGUGAAGAAAGAUAGAGGUAGUAACUGGCUUUUAUUUGACGGUAAUAACUUAGAUAGUCACGGUUAACUACGUGCCAGCAGCCGCGGGAAUACGUAGGUGGCAAGCGUUGUCCGGAUUUAUUGGGCGUAAAGGGAGUGCAGGCGGUUCAAUAAGUCUGAUGUGAAAGCUUUCGGCUCAACCGGAGAAUUGCAUCAGAAACUGUUGGUCUUGAGUACAGAAGAGGAAAGUGGAACUCCAGGUGUAGCGGUGGAAUGCGUAGAUAUAUGGAAGAACACCAGUGGCGAAGGCGGCUCUCUAAUCUGCAACUGACGCUGAGGCUCGAAAGCAUGGGUAGCGAACAGGAUUAGAUACCCUUGUAGUC
rnacentral:rRNA from 1 species